rnacentral:rRNA from 1 species
ACUAAGCGUACACGGUGGAUGCCCUGGCAGUCAGAGGCGAUGAAGGACGUGCUAAUCUGCGAUAAGCGUCGGUAAGGUGAUAUGAACCGUUAUAACCGGCGAUUUCCGAAUGGGGAAACCCAGUGUGAUUCGUCACACUAUCAUUAACUGAAUCCAUAGGUUAAUGAGGCGAACCGGGGGAACUGAAACAUCUAAGUACCCCGAGGAAAAGAAAUCAACCGAGAUUCCCCAGUAGCGGCGAGCGAACGGGGAGGAGCCCAGAGCCUGAAUCAGUGUGUGUGUUAGUGGAAGCGUCUGGAAAGGCGCGCGAUACAGGGUGACAGCCCCGUACACAAAAAUGCACAUGCUGUGAGCUCGAUGAGUAGGGCGGGACACGUGGUAUCCUGUCUGAAUAUGGGGGGACCAUCCUCCAAGGCUAAAUACUCCUGACUGACCGAUAGUGAACCAGUACCGUGAGGGAAAGGCGAAAAGAACCCCGGCGAGGGGAGUGAAAAAGAACCUGAAACCGUGUACGUACAAGCAGUGGGAGCACAGAGCAAUCUGUGUGACUGCGUACCUUUUGUAUAAUGGGUCAGCGACUUAUAUUCUGUAGCAAGGUUAACCGAAUAGGGGAGCCGAAGGGAAACCGAGUCUUAACUGGGCGUUAAGUUGCAGGGUAUAGACCCGAAACCCGGUGAUCUAGCCAUGGGCAGGUUGAAGGUUGGGUAACACUAACUGGAGGACCGAACCGACUAAUGUUGAAAAAUUAGCGGAUGACUUGUGGCUGGGGGUGAAAGGCCAAUCAAACCGGGAGAUAGCUGGUUCUCCCCGAAAGCUAUUUAGGUAGCGCCUCGUGAAUUCAUCUCCGGGGGUAGAGCACUGUUUCGGCAAGGGGGUCAUCCCGACUUACCAACCCGAUGCAAACUGCGAAUACCGGAGAAUGUUAUCACGGGAGACACACGGCGGGUGCUAACGUCCGUCGUGAAGAGGGAAACAACCCAGACCGCCAGCUAAGGUCCCAAAGUCAUGGUUAAGUGGGAAACGAUGUGGGAAGGCCCAGACAGCCAGGAUGUUGGCUUAGAAGCAGCCAUCAUUUAAAGAAAGCGUAAUAGCUCACUGGUCGAGUCGGCCUGCGCGGAAGAUGUAACGGGGCUAAACCAUGCACCGAAGCUGCGGCAGCGACACUAUGUGUUGUUGGGUAGGGGAGCGUUCUGUAAGCCUGUGAAGGUGUGCUGUGAGGCAUGCUGGAGGUAUCAGAAGUGCGAAUGCUGACAUAAGUAACGAUAAAGCGGGUGAAAAGCCCGCUCGCCGGAAGACCAAGGGUUCCUGUCCAACGUUAAUCGGGGCAGGGUGAGUCGACCCCUAAGGCGAGGCCGAAAGGCGUAGUCGAUGGGAAACAGGUUAAUAUUCCUGUACUUGGUGUUACUGCGAAGGGGGGACGGAGAAGGCUAUGUUGGCCGGGCGACGGUUGUCCCGGUUUAAGCGUGUAGGCUGGUUUUCCAGGCAAAUCCGGAAAAUCAAGGCUGAGGCGUGAUGACGAGGCACUACGGUGCUGAAGCAACAAAUGCCCUGCUUCCAGGAAAAGCCUCUAAGCAUCAGGUAACAUCAAAUCGUACCCCAAACCGACACAGGUGGUCAGGUAGAGAAUACCAAGGCGCUUGAGAGAACUCGGGUGAAGGAACUAGGCAAAAUGGUGCCGUAACUUCGGGAGAAGGCACGCUGAUAUGUAGGUGAAGCGACUUGCUCGUGGAGCUGAAAUCAGUCGAAGAUACCAGCUGGCUGCAACUGUUUAUUAAAAACACAGCACUGUGCAAACACGAAAGUGGACGUAUACGGUGUGACGCCUGCCCGGUGCCGGAAGGUUAAUUGAUGGGGUUAGCGCAAGCGAAGCUCUUGAUCGAAGCCCCGGUAAACGGCGGCCGUAACUAUAACGGUCCUAAGGUAGCGAAAUUCCUUGUCGGGUAAGUUCCGACCUGCACGAAUGGCGUAAUGAUGGCCAGGCUGUCUCCACCCGAGACUCAGUGAAAUUGAACUCGCUGUGAAGAUGCAGUGUACCCGCGGCAAGACGGAAAGACCCCGUGAACCUUUACUAUAGCUUGACACUGAACAUUGAGCCUUGAUGUGUAGGAUAGGUGGGAGGCUUGGAAGUGUGGACGCCAGUCUGCAUGGAGCCGACCUUGAAAUACCACCCUUUAAUGUUUGAUGUUCUAACGUUGACCCGUAAUCCGGGUUGCGGACAGUGUCUGGUGGGUAGUUUGACUGGGGCGGUCUCCUCCUAAAGAGUAACGGAGGAGCACGAAGGUUGGCUAAUCCUGGUCGGACAUCAGGAGGUUAGUGCAAUGGCAUAAGCCAGCUUGACUGCGAGCGUGACGGCGCGAGCAGGUGCGAAAGCAGGUCAUAGUGAUCCGGUGGUUCUGAAUGGAAGGGCCAUCGCUCAACGGAUAAAAGGUACUCCGGGGAUAACAGGCUGAUACCGCCCAAGAGUUCAUAUCGACGGCGGUGUUUGGCACCUCGAUGUCGGCUCAUCACAUCCUGGGGCUGAAGUAGGUCCCAAGGGUAUGGCUGUUCGCCAUUUAAAGUGGUACGCGAGCUGGGUUUAGAACGUCGUGAGACAGUUCGGUCCCUAUCUGCCGUGGGCGCUGGAGAACUGAGGGGGGCUGCUCCUAGUACGAGAGGACCGGAGUGGACGCAUCACUGGUGUUCGGGUUGUCAUGCCAAUGGCACUGCCCGGUAGCUAAAUGCGGAAGAGAUAAGUGCUGAAAGCAUCUAAGCACGAAACUUGCCCCGAGAUGAGUUCUCCCUGACUCCUUGAGAGUCCUGAAGGAACGUUGAAGACGACGACGUUGAUAGGCCGGGUGUGUAAGCGCAGCGAUGCGUUGAGCUAACCGGUACUAAUGAACCGUGAGGCUUAACC